rnacentral:rRNA from 1 species
GAUUAAGUUAUUAAGGGCGCACGGUGGAUGCCUUGGCACUAGAAGCCGAUGAAGGACGUUACUAACGACGACAUGCUUUGGGGAGCUGUAAGUAAGCUUUGAUCCAGAGAUUUCCGAAUGGGGAAACCCAGCAUGAGUUAUGUCAUGUUAUCGAUAUGUGAAUACAUAGCAUAUCAGAAGGCACACCCGGAGAACUGAAACAUCUUAGUACCCGGAGGAAGAGAAAGAAAAUUCGAUUCCCUUAGUAGCGGCGAGCGAAACGGGAAGAGCCCAAACCAACAAGCUUGCUUGUUGGGGUUGUAGGACACUCUAUACGGAGUUACAAAGGACGACAUUAGACGAAUCAUCUGGAAAGAUGAAUCAAAGAAGGUAAUAAUCCUGUAGUCGAAAAUGUUGUCUCUCUUGAGUGGAUCCUGAGUACGACGGAGCACGUGAAAUUCCGUCGGAAUCUGGGAGGACCAUCUCCUAAGGCUAAAUACUCUCUAGUGACCGAUAGUGAACCAGUACCGUGAGGGAAAGGUGAAAAGCACCCCGGAAGGGGAGUGAAAUAGAACCUGAAACCGUGUGCUUACAAGUAGUCAGAGCCCGUUAAUGGGUGAUGGCGUGCCUUUUGUAGAAUGAACCGGCGAGUUACGAUUUGAUGCAAGGUUAAGCAGUAAAUGUGGAGCCGUAGCGAAAGCGAGUCUGAAUAGGGCGUUUAGUAUUUGGUCGUAGACCCGAAACCAGGUGAUCUACCCUUGGUCAGGUUGAAGUUCAGGUAACACUGAAUGGAGGACCGAACCGACUUACGUUGAAAAGUGAGCGGAUGAACUGAGGGUAGCGGAGAAAUUCCAAUCGAACCUGGAGAUAGCUGGUUCUCUCCGAAAUAGCUUUAGGGCUAGCCUCAAGUGAUGAUUAUUGGAGGUAGAGCACUGUUUGGACGAGGGGCCCCUCUCGGGUUACCGAAUUCAGACAAACUCCGAAUGCCAAUUAAUUUAACUUGGGAGUCAGAACAUGGGUGAUAAGGUCCGUGUUCGAAAGGGAAACAGCCCAGACCACCAGCUAAGGUCCCAAAAUAUAUGUUAAGUGGAAAAGGAUGUGGCGUUGCCCAGACAACUAGGAUGUUGGCUUAGAAGCAGCCAUCAUUUAAAGAGUGCGUAAUAGCUCACUAGUCGAGUGACACUGCGCC